GUAGGUGGGCAAGCGUUGUCCGGAAUUAUUGGGCGUAAAGCGCGCGCAGGCGGUCCUUUAAGCCUGAUGUGAAAGCCCACGGCUCAACCGUGGAGGGUCAUUGGAAACUGGGGGACUUGAGUACAGAAGAGGAAAGCGGAAUUCCAAGUGUAGCGGUGAAAUGCGUAGAGAUUUGGAGGAACACCAGUGGCGAAGGCGGCUUUCUGGUCUGUAACUGACGCUGAGGCGCGAAAGCGUGGGGAGCAAACAGGAUUAGAUACCCUGGUAGUCCACGCCGUAAACGAUGAGUGCUAAGUGUUAGGGGGUUUCCGCCCCUUAGUGCUGCAGCUAACGCAUUAAGCACUCCGCCUGGGGAGUACGGCCGCAAGGCUG
rnacentral:rRNA from 1 species